GUGAAAGAGAAAGUUACUGCAUGGUUAAGUGGUUACACUCUCAGAUACAGGUAGAGGCAGCUUAGGAAUGUAAAUAUUUAGCCAAUGUUGAAAAACUUGAAUGAGAGAUUUGGAGAACAACUGUCCCAGAAUAUCCUGAAGUGGAGUAAUCAGGCUUUUCUGGGAGACAAACAUACAUCGGAGUUGCAACCAGCAGGGAGGAGAUUUGGAUGUAAGUUUCUCACAUCACAAUUUAGUUCUGCCAUCUCCAGUCCAACUCUUCUCUCCAGUCCUCCUCAGCAGCGCCCAGUUACAAGGCCUGAAGUGAAUGAGUAGCCCCAGGAAGUGCAGGAUGGGCAAGAGGAGCUCUCCCUGCUCAGCUCAGGAUGGCAAAGCACUAUGCGGAGCAGGCACAUGCUCACAGGAAGACAGAUCUGCUACUAGCAGACUCCUCAGCCUUGUUAAAGCAGAAAUACCCAUCAACCCCAGUGUCUUAUACCACUUCACGGUGCCAUGCAGGCACAGUGAUGUGGCCUGAAGCCAGCCACUGGUCCUGCCUUGUUUCCUCAUCCAGAAAUUGAUGAUGCAGCCUGCCUGCCAGUAGAAACUCCCAUUGUGAAACUGAGUUUGCUGAUAUUUGCAAAGUAUUUGAAGGUGUGUCUCAGUGGGAAACAAGGUCUGCUCUAGCUUCAGUUAGGUAAUGUGAGUACACCCGUUUAUGAUCCCAAUGGUGAAACACUGGUGAGCAGCAUUUCACACGCAUGAAGUCAAGCUAGGAUUCCUCUUUAACCAAGCUAACUCAGGUUUCAUCCUGAAUCCUACCAAUUAUUUAAAUCCCAGCUUCCCACAAGAGCCUCCUGCUCUGCUGUGGUGGAGCUGUUGACUCACAUUGCCUGCUCUGACUUGGGUGAUGCCAAAACUCACGUGUGGAUGUGGAGUAGCACUGGACUUCCUACAGAGGCACCACCAGCAAUGCUGGGCCAUCUAAUGCAGUGGGAUUAGCUCAGGGCAGUUCUGCAUCUUGACACACUGUGCAUUAACCCAAGUUAGGGAAGCAAACUAAGAAUGUGUCUCUUUACUUCACAGGAAUGAUAGAGAGGAAAAUUCAAUAUGGCUAUUCAUGGAAGAAUGAUUUCUGUCAUUUAUUCCAAACACUUCUAAAGUUUAAUAGAAGCAUCAACAAACACAGUUAUUAAGAUUCACUUUACUCAUCAGCAGUGUUUCUGUCUCUAGGCAGAACUUUAUAUAUCUGCUUAAUAGCACAGAGCAAAUUUACAGCACAGCUUAAGGUAGAAAAUCGUGAAUAUUACUUCAAAAAUAGAUAGCAUAGGAUAAUUGUGUGGAGCUGCACUUUGUCACACUGAAAUUCAUGAUAAUAGGUAAGCACAGAGGCACAAUUCUUACCCACCCGUCAUUGUUUACAUAAAUUGAAAAUUCAGAAUUGUUCAGAAGUUGAAAUAAGUCCUAUUAAUAUUCAAAGUCACUUCCACUUCAGUGAGGUUUUCUGUUAUUUUAAAAUUGUGCCCUCUUUUAAGAAAUCUACAUUUCUUAAAAAGAUAGUUCAGUGGGCUUCCUGCUUUUCCUACAUAUUCUUUCUGUUUGUUUGUUUGUUUCUCAGUUAUUUCUGUAUAGACUACAUAUAAUAAUAUCCAAGUUAGCAUUUUCUUUCAUCGCUUUAUUUUCUGUAACAGUUCAAUAUUUCUUCAGGUUUAGAAAUAUGAGAGACUGUCAAAUGAAAAUGAAAUAUAUGUAUAUUUAAAAAACAACUUUAACCUUGAAUUUAAUGCAUUCUUAUAAAAGUAUAAAGAAGAGAUUAUAAAAGUUAAUACUAUACUGUCAGAGACUUAUAAUUUAAAUAAAAUCAAUAAAAU
ensembl:lncRNA